GAGAACCCACUCAGUCUGUGAAGCUGAUGUUUCAUCAGAAUCAGUCUGAGGCUGAAGGUCUGUGGGCUGCCUGGAGAGCUGCUUGUCCACACUGGAAGGUGGCUGAGAAGCUGGGCUUUGGUGGUAGCCUAGCAACGGAUAGACACAAAGAAGUCAGUUGGUAGUUGGGCAUUUUCCUUAGGCAUGCAUUGCAAGGCUAAAGUCUACCUUAAAGAAUGUGGCCUUCUUCUGUAGACAAGCACUCUUGUAGUUCCUCAGUCCCAGACUGCAGUGGGCUGGCCCACCCAGAAAAGCCUGCCCCUGGGUAGACUGACAGGAGAGAGGAAGACGCUGAGUCGACAGCUCCUUUGACUUCCCUGAGGAACUUUCAGUGACUUGCCCAGCAGUCAGAUGGAGGUGCUUGGGGCAGUGCUGAUGCUCAGGCAAACGCUCCUACAGCAGAGUGAGCGCACAGGUCCUCCUGUGCCUGGAUCCUUGGUCCAAGUCUCCUCACGCGGCUCAACUUUACGUCUGUGUCAGAAGAACGUCAAGACCAAUUGCCACUUCUUUUUUUUCUCAGAGUCCUCACCCAACAUAAGGCCAUAAUUUUGGAACAGGAAGGAAGGGACCGGGAUGGCUGAGAAGACUUGCUUUAGGGCAAAUAGCCCAAAUCUCAGUUCAAACAAGAUAAGGGCUGCAGAGAUAGAAUCCGAAGAUAAAGGUGUUUUCCCCUGGACUGCUGUUAAUGCCUUAAAUGUGUGGGAGAUUUCCCUGGGCUUUUAUUCCCCCAAGGUCCUUGCAAGACAAAGUCUCUUAGUUACAGGGAAAACCUUCGACUAUAGACAGCCCUUGGUCCCCAAAUUCUCAGGAGUCAAACGUUUUCAAGCACAGAAUUCUUGGGCAAACACAUCCUGUGCCUCCCGAGUGGAAGUGAUGCUCAGUGCUAAGCAGAAAGCUUUACAGAUGCUGCUGAAGGUCAAAUGAAGGUAGAGAAACCUCAACACAGCACGAGGCAUCACCCAACUGCAAACUAAUUGGGAAGGAAAUGGUUUCAAACUGACAGACUGUGGCCUGUAACUGAAACCUCACAGGGACAAAAGGUUCCUGCCAUUUAAAGGGGUAGCGGUGCCUAUUUCAACUGUGCAAACAAAAGAAAUGAAACCCCCUCGCGAGCUGGGAGGUUCUAUUAGCAGAUAUUACAUCCUUGCUUUUAUGCCCUCCUGUGUCACAAACCCUGAACAUGUGCCAUGUGUCCUGAGGCACUCAUUGGUUAAUUUACUUAUUCCGAGUACAGCAACAGCAACAGCAAAGGCAACAGCAAAGGCAACAGAGAAGCCCCCAAACGACAUGAACGUGGUGGCCCAGGCAGCAUUAAGAUGCGGCACACAGUUUGGAUAGGUGGGGUUUGAUCUGAAACUGUACACAUGUUAAACUCCAGAGAAAGUGAGAUGCUUAUAAUGGUCCUUCAGGGAAUUAAAAAAUAAAAACAUUGUUGGAAAUUUCACCAUAUUGAGAAGCAAAGACGAGUUGUGCAAAGUCAUGUACUUUUCUGGGCCAAGGGCAGCCAUUUGGGGCUGGCUUUAAUCAAUGUUCUAAGGAAGGCCACUGGAAGAGGCCAAUUUUUCUAUCAUACAGAUGUGGUGAGAAUUAUGGACUUAAUUAUAUCCUCCGAAGUUCCUCUGACGGUCUACAAAAGCAGUUGUGUAUGUGACCCUAUAUUUUAGAACUGAACUGUAGUGAGUAGAGUAAGAUUCAAGCUGAAUAAAAUUGAAAUAUAAUGAG
rnacentral:lncRNA from 1 species